GACAGAGGGUGCGAACGUUGCUCGGAAUUACUGGGCGUAAAGCGCGUGUAGGCGGCUUCGCGAGUCGGGUGUGAAAGCCCGGGGCUCAACCCCGGACGUGCAUUCGAUACUACGGAGCUGGAGUCCUGAAGAGGAGAGCGGAAUUCCCGGUGUAGAGGUGAAAUUCGUAGAUAUCGGGAGGAACACCCGUAGCGAAGGCGGCACUCUGGGCCGGUACUGACGCUGAGGAGCGAAAGCGUGGGGAGCAAACAGGG
rnacentral:rRNA from 1 species